rnacentral:pre_miRNA from 1 species
UACCCAGUUGAGGAAGUCGCGUUGUGCAGAUGGCCAAUCAGCGAAACCGAUUCCGGCAGCUUAGUACAGCU